rnacentral:rRNA from 1 species
UACGGAGGGGGCUAGCGUUGUUCGGAAUUACUGGGCGUAAAGCGCGCGUAGGCGGUUUGUUAAGUUGGGCGUGAAAUCCCGGGGCUCAACCCCGGAACUGCGCUCGAAACUGGCAGGCUAGAGUUCGGGAGAGGGUGGUGGAAUUUCCAGUGUAGAGGUGAAAUUCGUAGAUAUUGGAAAGAACACCGGUGGCGAAGGCGACCACCUGGACCGAGACUGACGCGGAGGUGCGAAAGCGUGGGGAGCAAACAGG